rnacentral:rRNA from 1 species
UAACUGAAGAGUUUGAUCAUGGCUCAGAUUGAACGCUGGCGGCAGGCUUAACACAUGCAAGUCGAGCGGGGGAAGGUAGCUUGCUACUGGACCUAGCGGCGGACGGGUGAGUAAUGCUUAGGAAUCUGCCUAUUAGUGGGGGACAACAUCUCGAAAGGGAUGCUAAUACCGCAUACGUCCUACGGGAGAAAGCAGGGGAUCUUCGGACCUUGCGCUAAUAGAUGAGCCUAAGUCGGAUUAGCUAGUUGGUGGGGUAAAGGCCUACCA